rnacentral:rRNA from 1 species
AAGGGGUGCUAAURCCGGAUAAGCMUACGGGAUCYUCGGAGUCUGCAAGAAAAGGWGGCCUCUAUUUAUWAGCUUCCGUAUCAUGAUGRGUCCGCGUACCAUUAGCUAGUUGGUGGGGUAAUGGCCYACCAAGGCKACGAUGAUUAGCUGGUCUGAGAGGAUGAUCAGCCACWCUGGAACUGAGWCRCGGUCCAGACUCCUACGGGAGGCAGCAGUGGGGAAUUUUGCGCAAUGGGGGAAACCCUGACGCAGCAACGCCGCGUGAGUGAUGAAGGCUUUCGGGUCGUAAAGCUCUGUCAGAGGGGAAGAAAUGAAACGUGCUAAUAUCACGUUUUCUUGACGGUACCCUCAAAGGAAGCACCGGCUAACUCCGUGCCAGCAGCCGCGGUAAUACAAGGKURAYWUCW